AUCUCCAGCACCCGCCUCAUCCCCUCCGCCUUCGCCUACAUCUCCCAGUCCAUGGCCCGCGCGUCCGCCAUCUCCAGCACCCGCCUCAUCCCCUCCGCCUUCGCCUGCAUCUCCCGGUCCAUGGCCCCCGCGUCCCUGCCGCCGCCGCCCGCGAGCUCCACCAUUGUCGCCGUCGUCAGCGCUUCCUACACGCGCGCGCUCGUCGUUGACCUCACUGGAUAUUUUACUUCGCGAUGACUGAAGGGGAAUGAAACUAUGAAAGCGACGGUGAGGAACCAGUUGGGUGAGGGCUCUGUUGGGCAGGUCAUGCACGAGGAACAUGCUUGAAAAUGAGGUUGUCCGUUCCUUCUACAAGGUUUGUUUUUGUUUUCUCUCUGGUGUUCCAUAACUUUUCCUUGUACAAAGUUCUAAUAAUUGUAGCUUUGUUACUGACCCAAUGCUAUUGCACGUGACAUAUUUUAGUCCAGAGAAACUAAACCAUGUAUUAAGUUCGAGUAUUUGGC